rnacentral:lncRNA from 1 species
GACAUCAAUCUCAUUGAUAUCUUAUCAUCUACUAUAUUAUCAAUUAUUUCAUUGUUUUAUAGUUUUCCUUAGCAAAUAUCUUUCACAGCCAAUUUGUAGUUUUAUCAGAAAUUUAUAGUUUUGAGCAUUAAUUUUAUUUUCUCAAAUACUAUUUCUUAAAGGAGGAGCAAGUACAGGAGCCAAAUAAGGACCAAGUUGUCGACGAACUUCAGAUAACAACUUUUCAAGUUCCUGCGUAUGAGAAGCGAGUACAAAAUACGGAUAAUGACCAAGUUGUUGACCAACUUGUGA